UUUCAUCUGAUUUUUAUGUGUUAAUGCAGUUCAUAAAGAAUUCCAACCAUUUACAAGUGUAUGAAGCAGAAUGGGGGUGUAGCUCAGUAGAAGGCCCUGGGUUCAGUCCCACUACUGAAAAAAGAAGCAUUAAUCUUUCUAAAUUCACAGGUUUAAAAAAAUCAUAGGCUGGACUUGACUGGUGUGGUUUGCUGACCCUGUUCUACCUCCUGUAGUCCAAUCAGCAUGCGACCCUGGCAACAUGCCUCUCCCUCAUUUGGUGACUUGUUUCCAUGGUGACUCCGGCCAGGUGCUCCUCUUCAUAACUGUGGCUUCCUUGUCUGUCUGUGGAUGUUGUUUUCUGGGUACCUUCAUGUGCUGUGGAAGAGGGUGGGUGAUCAGGGGUGUGCUAUUCGUGCAUUUUCUAGGGGAAGAAGUACUGACCUCACGCCUGUAUCCACUGGUGAAGAUGUACUUUUGUGCUGUCUUGCACACUCUCUCCUUCUCUUUCUCUCUCUCUCUCCCCCUCCCUCUCCCUCUCCAUCAUCUCUCUCUCUCUCCUUCUCUCUUUCCCUCUCUCCUUCCUGUGGACACUGUCUGAGCUACUCUCUUCUGCCA
rnacentral:lncRNA from 1 species